ACAGCAGGCUGAGGCUAUGCUAAUUGUCCUUCAGGGAUUGGCGGAGCAUGAGUUAUCUUAUUAGCAUGGUGCUGCUCCCUCAUUAGCAUAUUACCUGCCAACUGAUGCCAGGUGCAAAGCCUGCGCAUGCGCAGUACCGUUGUUCACCACAGGAGGGCGCUCUACAACUCAGAAGGCAAGAGAACAGCUUAUUGAGUGUUUAAAGUUCAGACAGAUUUUUCCAGCAGGACAGUAAUACUUACAUCCUGGAGUCUCACAGAGGGAUGCAUUCAUAGAUAUCAUCGCUUUUGUUGAUAUCGUGUCCACGUACUCCUAGGUUCUGUCAGUUCAUCUACAACAAUGGGUUCUUUCACACCUGGAAAACUCCUUUGUCCUGGAUGAGCAUCCCCUCUGUCUCAGAAUGCAGGACUGGAGUGGAGCAGAGACUGAAGGAGGGGCUGUCCAGGGACUGACUGACCUGAGGAUCCAUCCCAUGUGCAGCGACGAAACCCAGACACUGGCUGAUGCCAAGGAGUGCUUACUGACAGGGACCUGAUAUAGAUACCACCUGAGAGGCUCUGUCAGAGCCUUAGGGAUACAGAUUUGGGUGCUUGCAGCCAAAUAUCUGACUGAGCCCUGGAACCCCAAUGGAGGAGUUGGGAGAAGGACUAAAGGAACUCAGGGGCUUUACAACACCAUGGGAGGAACAACAAUAUCAAGCAAACAGAAUCACCACUCCCAGAGUUCCCAGGGACUGAACCACCAACCAGAGUAGAGGGACCCAUGGCUCCAACUGUACAUAUGCAGAGGAUGGCUUUGUCUGGCAUCAGAG
ensembl:lncRNA